GGAAGGGGAUCAGAGUGGCACUUGGGGGGGAGGGUGCAGGACCACUUUGCAGCACAUCUAAAGAAGUGGGCCCCCACUGGUAUAAGGCAGAUCAAAUAUCCCCCAAUAUUAAAGACAAAGGCCAAAAAGCCAUUGUCCCGCAGCUGACCUCAGAGAAGAGGAUCAUAAUUUCUCAGGCUUGCUCUUCUAAUGUUGUUUAAAGCACCAUUUAUUAAUAUUAUGUAAUAAUCAAAGCAGACAUAUGCUCUAAAGCCGCAUACCCUGUUUGUGUGCGCCUCUUCAGAGGGCUGCAUGCCCCCUGGCACAUUCCCUGGCACUGCUAAGAGCUAUGCUUCAGCCUUUUUGGGGAUUAGGCAUAUAGUUCCCUGUGUGGUCACGGAGAAGAGCUGACAUUCUCAGUAAAGGUCAGUUCACCUUUUCUGUGUUCCUCUUAAGCACACAGAUACUGAACCCCAUUCCCCUGCUAAGCAUGACUCAGAUUCAAAAACUGUUUGGGAUUCUGAGCCAGGUUCUCAGCUGGUGGGAAUUGGUGCAGCUCGGUUAACCUCAAACUGAAGGAAACUGAGUAUUGCCCCCCGGCCUUUGUCUGCACUGGACGUUUUGCUUGUAGAGUUAUAAUGACAAACUUGCCUAACAGAGGUGCAGCUUAUACCCACAAGCGUUCCUUUGGUCACCAGCUUCCUUGCUUACACUAGUUCUCUAAAUGAAAGGGGCUAUCCAGACUUCUUUUGGCUGGUAUAACUGAGUAUAGACAAGGGCUUUAGGUUGGUAAGGGGGUGAUUUAGUCACACUUGUAUCUGACAUACCUAUGCUGGCCUUAUACAUAGGUGGGCUUUAUACAUAACAAAGAUGGGGCCAUAUACAUAGGUGGGUUUACAGGCCACGUGUUUAAAUACCUACUGAGUCACUGGCACUUUCCAUUCUGCUGUCUUUACUUUUCUUUCGCAGAAGGACCUGUGCACACAUAGCAGUAUGGCAGUGUUUUCUCAGUCCAGGCCUUCUACACGAUCCUCCCCUUCAGUCCACUUCUACCCCUCUGUCUUUCUGGCAUGUCAGCUUGGCUAUCUCGUUGCAGGUGUCCGUCCAUUCUGGAAAUCCUGGCUCAUACAGGCACAUUAAUCACAACAUUUAUCUACUGAUGAACUGGAAGCUAGAAUACAACCCCCUGACUUUUUACGUCAGUUCAAACAUACCAGACAUUCUCAGCUUCAGCACACUGGAAAAGGCCACCACAGGCAGUUGAUGGGGAGAGGGUGGAUUUUUGCCCAUUCAAAGGCAGGAAUAUUUGGAAUAUACGUGAGUGACUCAUUCAUUAAACGGCACAAUUUAUCCUGAAGCUGUUCAAGGGAAUUGCUUUGCUAAUUCUGUUUCUGGGCUUUUU